UGAUUAAGCCAUGCGAGUCGAGAGGGUUCGGCCCUCGGCGUACUGCUCAGUAACACGUGGAUAACCUGCCCUAGGGAAGGGGAUAACCCCGGGAAACUGGGGAUAAUACCCUAUAGGUUACAGACGCUGGAAUGCUCUGUAACCCAAAGUUCCGGCGCCCUAGGAUGGAUCUGCGGCCGAUUAGGUUGUUGUUGGGGUAAUGGCCCAACAAGCCAGUAAUCGGUACGGGUUGUGGGAGCAAGAGCCCGGAGUUGGAUUCUGAGACACGAAUCCAGGCCCUACGGGGCGCAGCAGGCGCGAAAACUUUACAAUGCGGGCAACCGUGAUAAGGGAACCUCGAGUGCCUGUAAAUGCAGGCUGUUUAGGUGUUUAAAACGCACCUGGAGAAAGGGCUGGGCAAGACCGGUGCCAGCCGCCGCGGUAAUACCGGCGGCUCGAGUGGUGGCCACUUUUAUUGGGCUUAAAGCGUUCGUAGCUGGGUUGUUAAGUCUCUUGGGAAAUCUGGCGGCUUAACCGUCAGGCGUCUAAGGGAUACUGGCAAUCUUGGAACCGGGAGAGGUGAGGGGUACUUCGGGGGUAGGAGUGAAAUCCUGUAAUCCUCGAGGGACCACCUGUGGCGAAGGCGCCUCACCAGAACGGCUUCGACAGUGAGGGACGAAAGCUGGGGGAGCAAACCGGAUUAGAUACCCGGGUAGUCCCAGCCGUAAACUAUGCGCGUUAGGUGUAUCGGUGACCACGAGUUACCGAGGUGCCGAAGGGAAACCGUGAAACGUGCCGCCUGGGAAGUACGGUCGCAAGGCUGAAACUUAAAGGAAUUGGCGGGGGAGCA
rnacentral:rRNA from 1 species